rfam:Clostridium sp. CAG:288 genomic scaffold, scf5
AAAGUAAAAAAGCAAAACUAUCGUAAGAUAGUGACGCAAAGCUAUAGGGUCCUAUAUAUAUAUGGAUUGCCAGUUACCAUU